UCUUGUAAGAAGAUACAAAGACAAACACUCAUACGGACUUCAGCUACACCAUCAACGCUUUGAGAAGCAAGAAGAAGAUUGGUUAGUGUUUUGGAGCCGAAUAUGACUUGAUGUGAUGUGUAUGAUUGAGUAUAGGAACUUAAACCGCAAUCGGAUCUUAAAAGCCUAAGUAGUGUUUCCUUGUUAGAAGAUACAAAGCCAAAGCCUCAUACGAACUUUAGUUACACCAUCAAAGCAUUGACAAUCAAGAAGAAGCUUGGUUAGUGUUUUGGAGUCGAAUAUGAGUUGAUGUGAUGUGUAUGAUUGGGUAUAAGA
rnacentral:sRNA from 1 species